rnacentral:rRNA from 1 species
CCUACGGGAGGCUGCAGUGAGGAAUAUUGGUCAAUGGGCGGGAGCCUGAACCAGCCAAGCCGCGUGAGGGAAGAAGGUACAGCGUAUCGUAAACCUCUUUUGUCAGGGAACACAGGCGGGGACUAGUCCCCGGAUGAGGGUACCUGAAGAAAAAGCAUCGGCUAACUCCGUGCCAGCAGCCGCGGUAAUACGGAGGAUGCGAGCGUUAUCCGGAUUUAUUGGGUGUAAAGGGCGUGUAGGCGGGGACGCAAGUCAGAUGUGAAAACCACGGGCUCAACCUGUGGCCUGCAUUUGAAACUGGGUGUCUUGAGUACUGGAGAGGCAGACGGAAGUCCUAGUGUAGCGGUGAAAUGCGUAGAUAUUAGGAGGAACACCAGUGGCGAAGGCAGUCUGCUGGACAGCAACUGACGCUGAGGCGCGAAAGCGUGGGGAGCAAACAGGAUUAGAUACCCGUGUAGUC